rnacentral:lncRNA from 1 species
GGUAUAUUGCUGGGUCUUCCAAGUGCUCCACGAAACCUCUUUCUAAAUUAUUAACAUCUAUUUUAUCAGCAAUCAAAGACGGGCUUCAAAGUUAUUGUGAAACUGCCUAUUGUAGAGGUGGCGUGAAUCAGAUGUGGAUACUUAAGACACUUAAAAAUUCCAAAGAUCUUUUAGAGUACAUACAAUCUAACUCUCUUUCAUCUUGUGACAGUAUUAAAACAUUUGACUUUUCUACUCUUUACACAAGUAUUCCACAUUCCAAACUAAAAG